rnacentral:rRNA from 1 species
AUUGAACGCUGGCGGAAUGCUUUACACAUGCAAGUCGAACGGCAGCACGGGGGCAACCCUGGUGGCGAGUGGCGAACGGGUGAGUAAUACAUCGGAACGUGCCCAGUCGUGGGGGAUAACGUAGCGAAAGCUACGCUAAUACCGCAUACGAACUCUGGUUGAAAGCGGGGGAUCGCAAGACCUCGCGCGAUUGGAGCGGCCGAUGGCAGAUUAGGUAGUUGGUGGGGUAAAGGCCUACCAAGCCGACGAUCUGUAGCUGGUCUGAGAGGACGACCAGCCACACUGGGACUGAGACACGGCCCAGACGCCUACGGGAGGGAGCAGUGGGGAAUUUUGGACAAUGGGGGCAAGCCUGAUCCAGCCAUUCCGCGUGCAGGAUGAAGGCCCUCGGGUUGUAAACUGCUUUUGUACGGAACGAAACGGUCCUGGUUAAUACCUGGGGCUAAUGACGGUACCGUAAGAAUAAGCACCGGCUAACUACGUGCCAGCAGCCGCUGUAAAAC